rnacentral:misc_RNA from 1 species
GUAUUGAUUGCGUGUUAUCGCAAAAAUGGGGUCAUUCUACACUUUUAAAAAGGGGUUUGUGUGAAAACGCAAGCCCCCUCCUGGAUCUUUUUGAUCCCGAAGGGUGCCCACGCGGUGGUGCACAAAAGGGUGAGAUGGAUUUUAUGUGAGAGGACACACUCGGACGUGCACGACUUUUGUGUUCAAAAGUCAGCGACAGCCCUUGCAUGCCUCACACAUUUUGUACGAUAAUGAUCCUUCCGCAGGUUCACCUACGGAAA